AAUUUUAGGUGUGCCCUGCCCGGUGGAUUAUCUUAACGGCCGCAGUACUCUGACUGUGCUAAGGUAGCAUAAUAAUUUGUCUAUUAAUUUUAGACUGGAAUAAACGGGUGUUUUUAAGAAGUCUGUCUACACGUUAUUUUGUUUAAUUUACCUAUAAGGUGAAAAUGCCUUUAUUUUUGUANUUAGACGAGAAGACCCUUAGAGUUUAACAUAUAUUUUGUUGGGGCGACAGGGAAGCAUAUAGCCUUNCUCACACUGACUCUUAUUUAUCAUUUAAUUUAUUAAAUAAACUACCUAAGGGAUAACAGCAUAAUUUUUUGAAAAGAUUAUGACCUCGAUGUUGGAUUAAGGACUUAUAUACUAACAGUUUAAUAANGAUCGUUCUGUUCGAACA
rnacentral:rRNA from 1 species